AUGAGCCCGGCCGACAAGGACCAGUGCUGUCGGCGUAUACGUGCGAUGCCGAACGCCGCCGACUGUCUGAGAGUCACGUUCAGGCGGGUUGAUCUUCGUUUCCAUGCCAAUAUCGACAACCACGUCAAUGCCGUGCUCACUGCCUGCGGCAUGGCUCACGUCUUAGAGCAUGCUUGUGCCCGAAUUGGAAGAGAUCUCCCCGGCCUCGCUGGUGUCCCUCACUGA
rnacentral:rRNA from 1 species